rnacentral:rRNA from 1 species
UCCGCGCCGUAUUAGCUAGUUGGUAAGGUAACGGCUUACCAAGGCAACGAUACGUAGCCGACCUGAGAGGGUGAUCGGCCACACUGGAACUGAGACACGGUCCAGACUCCUACGGGAGGCAGCAGUAGGGAAUCUUCCGCAAUGGGCGAAAGCCUGACGGAGCAACGCCGCGUGAGUGAUGAAGGUCUUCGGAUCGUAAAACUCUGUUAUCAGGGAAGAACAAACGUGUAAGUAACUGUGCACGUCUUGACGGUACCUGAUCAGAAAGCCACGGCUAACUACGUGCCAGCAGCCGCGGUAAUACGUAGGUGGCAAGCGUUAUCCGGAAUUAUUGGGCGUAAAGCGCGCGUAGGCGGUUUUUUAAGUCUGAUGUGAAAGCCCACGGCUCAACCGUGGAGGGUCAUUGGAAACUGGAAAACUUGAGUGCAGAAGAGGAAAGUGGAAUUCCAUGUGUAGCGGUGAAAUGCGCAGAGAUAUGGAGGAACACCAGUGGCGAAGGCGACUUUCUGGUCUGUAACUGACGCUGAUGUGCGAAAGCGUGGGGAUCAAACAGGAUUAGAUACCCUGGUAGUCCACGCCGUAAACGAUGAGUGCUAAGUGUUAGGGGGUUUCCGCCCCUUAGUGCUGCAGCUAACGCA